GACGAACGCUGGCGGCGCGCUUAACACAUGCAAGUCGAGCGAUGAAAUCUUAACAGAACCCUUCGGGGUGAAGAUAAGACGGAUUAGCGGCGGACGGGUGAGUAACACGUGAGUAACCUGCCUUUUACACAGGGAUAGCCUCGGGAAACCGGGAUUAAAACCUGAUGAAACUAUCAAAUCACAUGAUUAAGAAAGUUAAAACUCCGGUGGUAAAAGAUGGAUUCGCGUCCCAUUAGCUAGUUGGUGAAGGUAACGGCCCACCAAGGCAACGAUGGGUAGCCGGCCUGAGAGGGUGAACGGCCACAUUGGAACUGAGAAACGGUCCAAACUCCUACGGGAGGCAGCAGUGGGGAAUAUUGCACAAAUGGGGGAAAACCCCUGAUGCAAGCGAACGCCCGCGUGAA
rnacentral:rRNA from 1 species